GACGAACGCUGGCGGCGUGCCUAAUACAUGCAAGUAGAACGCUGAAGAGAGGAGCUUGCUCUUCUUGGAUGAGUUGCGAACGGGUGAGUAACGCGUAGGUAACCUGCCUGGUAGCGGGGGAUAACUAUUGGAAACGAUAGCUAAUACCGCAUAAAAUGGAUUAUCGCAUGAUAAUCCAUUGAAAGGUGCAAAUGCAUCACUACCAGAUGGACCUGCGUUGUAUUAGCUAGUUGGUGGGGUAACGGCUCACCAAGGCGACGAUACAUAGCCGACCUGAGAGGGUGAUCGGCCACACUGGGACUGAGACACGGCCCAGACUCUUACGGGAGGCAGCAGUAGGGAAUCUUCGGCAAUGGACGGAAGUCUGACCGAGCAACGCCGCGUGAGUGAAGAAGGUUUUCGGAUCGUAAAGCUCUGUUGUAAGAGAAGAACGAGUGUGAGAGUGGAAAGUUCACACUGUGACGGUAUCUUACCAGAAAGGGACGGCUAACUACGUG
rnacentral:rRNA from 1 species